rnacentral:lncRNA from 1 species
GUCACCUCAUCCACUGAUGCAUCUGAAAUUAUAUUUAAAUGGAAAAACUCAUGCAACUUAUUGGGCCAGCCUGUGGAAUCACACAGCAUGGGCGUGUGCACACACUCAGAAGCCUGCGAUGUUAUCGCGGGAUAUCAUCCUGCCUCACUUCCUGUACUGGAUCGUCACUGUGCAUCACAUGACUGCAGGCUGCUUUUUGUCAUGGUCCAUGUUAAGCUUCUGGUGUGGAGCUGGAGCAAGUGCGUGAUGCUGGCCCUGUUGUAGGCUCUCUCGAGGAGUGCACACCGUGGGUGUAACCCCGAGAGCACACGUUAGGAGAACACACACUGCAGACCUGUAGCUCACACGCUUAAAUGAAGACGAUGUCUCAAUGACACUGAAAAACUCUGAGGACAAACGGAACAUGAAGAAGGCUGAGAAAACAUGACAGAAGCAGUGUGAUGUGGAACUUUAGACUGAACUCUGGAUCUGAAAAAGAAGAAAAUAGUAAGAAAACUGGUAAAAUUUGAAUAAAAUCUGCAGAUCAGGUAAUACUUUUCUAUCAGUACUGAUUUAAUUGCUUUAAGAAUUGUACAAUUGUGCAAAUCAUUAGUAGAAGCUCCCUGAAGGAAAACCAUGCUAUCUGUACAAUUUUGUGCAAAUUUUCCUUAAGUGUAUAGUUAUUUCAAAUUAAAAUGCUAAGAAAAUGGAGCAACUCCCUGGCCUUUGAGAGUUAUCUACUUUAACACUUCAAAGUGAGGGCUUCAGUAUUGAAGUUUCUGGAUUUUCUCCUCCAGCUCUGCCAAGUCUAGUAAAGUCCUAAUUAAACACAGGAAGGCUGUGUUACCCAUAGUACUUUGAGCAGUUUCUGUAAUCCUGACUAG